AUAAUUAAAAUCAGUUGGAAUGAAUUUUUCACUUUAAAUCAAGGACUUUUAGGCCCAUGUUACUCUGACGUUAUUGUGUUUCCUCACUCAGAUUCUAUUGA